UCUGUGUGUGGAUGGUGUUCAGCACCAAGGACAGGUGCGUUUACCUGUGUGUGGAUGGUGUUCAGCACCAAGGACAGGUGUGUUUACCU
rnacentral:pre_miRNA from 1 species